rnacentral:rRNA from 1 species
UAAAAGAUUUAUCGGUUUGGGGUGGGCUCGCGUCCGAUUAGGUAGUUGGUGAGGUAACGGCCCACCAAGCCGACGAUCGGUAGCCGACCUGAGAGGGUGAUCGGCCACAUUGGGACUGAGACACGGCCCAAACUCCUACGGGAGGCAGCAGUGGGGAAUAUUGGGCAAUGGAGGAAACUCUGACCCAGCAACGCCGCGUGGAGGAAGAAGGUUUUCGGAUCGUAAACUCCUGUCCUUGGAGACGAGUAGAAGACGGUAUCCAAGGAGGAAGCCCCGGCUAACUACGUGCCAGCAGCCGCGGUAAUACGUAGGGGGCAAGCGUUGUCCGGAAUAGUUGGGCGUAAAGGGCGCGUAGGCGGCUCGGUAAGUCUGGAGUGAAAGUCCUGCUUUUAAGGUGGGAAUUGCUUUGGAUACUGUCGGGCUUGAGUGCAGGAGAGGUUAGUGGAAUUCCCAGUGUAGCGGUGAAAUGCGUAGAGAUUGGGAGGAACACCAGUGGCGAAGGCGACUAACUGGACUGUAACUGACGCUGAGGCGCGAAAGUGUGGGGAGCAAACAGGAUUAGAUACCCUGGUAGUCCACACUGUAAACGAUGAAUACUAGGUGUAGGGGGUAUCGACCCCUUCUGUGCC